CUGGCUCAGGACGAACGCUGGCGGCGUGCCUAAUACAUGCAAGUCGAACGAACUCUGGUAUUGAUUGGUGCUUGCAUCAUGAUUUACAUUUGAGUGAGUGGCGAACUGGUGAGUAACACGUGGGAAACCUGCCCAGAAGCGGGGGAUAACACCUGGAAACAGAUGCUAAUACCGCAUAACAACUUGGACCGCAUGGUCCGAGUUUGAAAGAUGGCUUCGGCUAUCACUUUUGGAUGGUCCCGCGGCGUAUUAGCUAGAUGGUGGGGUAACGGCUCACCAUGGCAAUGAUACGUAGCCGACCUGAGAGGGUAAUCGGCCACAUUGGGACUGAGACACGGCCCAAACUCCUACGGGAGGCAGCAGUAGGGAAUCUUCCACAAUGGACGAAAGUCUGAUGGAGCAACGCCGCGUGAGUGAAGAAGGGUUUCGGCUCGUAAAACUCUGUUGUUAAAGAAGAACAUAUCUGAGAGUAACUGUUCAGGUAUUGACGGUAUUUAACCAGAAAGCCACGGCUAACUACGUGCCAGCAGCCGCGGUAAUACGUAGGUGGCAAGCGUUGUCCGGAUUUAUUGGGCGUAAAGCGAGCGCAGGCGGUUUUUUAAGUCUGAUGUGAAAGCCUUCGGCUCAACCGAAGAAGUGCAUCGGAAACUGGGAAACUUGAGUGCAGAAGAGGACAGUGGAACUCCAUGUGUAGCGGUGAAAUGCGUAGAUAUAUGGAAGAACACCAGUGGCGAAGGCGGCUGUCUGGUCUGUAACUGACGCUGAGGCUCGAAAGUAUGGGUAGCAAACAGGAUUAGAUACCCUGGUAGUCCAUACCGUAAACGAUGAAUGCUAAGUGUUGGAGGGUUUCCGCCCUUCAGUGCUGCAGCUAACGCAUUAAGCAUUCCGCCUGGGGAGUACGGCCGCAAGGCUGAAACUCAAAGGAAUUGACGGGGGCCCGCACAAGCGGUGGAGCAUGUGGUUUAAUUCGAAGCUACGCGAAGAACCUUACCAGGUCUUGACAUACUAUGCAAAUCUAAGAGAUUAGACGUUCCCUUCGGGGACAUGGAUACAGGUGGUGCAUGGUUGUCGUCAGCUCGUGUCGUGAGAUGUUGGGUUAAGUCCCGCAACGAGCGCAACCCUUAUUAUCAGUUGCCAGCAUUAAGUUGGGCACUCUGGUGAGACUGCCGGUGACAAACCGGAGGAAGGUGGGGAUGACGUCAAAUCAUCAUGCCCCUUAUGACCUGGGCUACACACGUGCUACAAUGGAUGGUACAACGAGUUGCGAACUCGCGAGAGUAAGCUAAUCUCUUAAAGCCAUUCUCAGUUCGGAUUGUAGGCUGCAACUCGCCUACAUGAAGUCGGAAUCGCUAGUAAUCGCGGAUCAGCAUGCCGCGGUGAAUACGUUCCCGGGCCUUGUACACACCGCCCGUCACACCAUGAGAGUUUGUAACACCCAAAGUCGGUGGGGUAACCUUUUAGGAACCAGCCGCCUAAGGUGGGACAGAUGAUUAGGGUGAAGUCGUAACAAGG
rnacentral:rRNA from 1 species